AGCCGCCGCGGUAACACCGGCAGCUCUAGUGGUAACAAUUUUAUUGGGCCUAAAGCGUCCGUAGCCGGUUUAAUAAGUCUCUGGUGAAAUCCUGUAGCUUAACUGUGGGAAUUGCUGGAGAUACUAUUAGACUUGAGACCGGGAGAGGUUAGAGGUACUCCCAGGGUAGAGGUGAAAUUCUGUAAUCCUGGGAGGACCGCCUGUUGCGAGGGCGUCUAACUGGAACGGUUCUGACGGUGAGGGACGAAAGUUAGGGGCGCGAACCGGAUUAGAUACCCGGGUAGUCCUAACUGUAAACGAUGCGGACUUGGUGUUGGGGUGGCUUUGAGCUGCUCCAGUGCCGAAGGGAAGCUGUUAAGUCCGCCGCCUGGGAAGUACGGUUGCAAGACUGAAACUUAAAGGAAUUGGCGGGGGAGCACCACAACGCGUGGAGCCUGCCGGUUUAAUUGGAUUCAACGCCGGACAUCUCACCAGAGGCGACAGCUGUAUGAUAGCCAGGUUGAUGACUUUGCUUGACUAGCUGAGUAGUGGUGCAUGG
rnacentral:rRNA from 1 species